AAAUUUUUUCUGUAGAUCGAACAUCUUACAAUAAUGGUCCCACUUAGGUUUUGCAUUCUGUUUCUAGCGCUGUGCGCUUGGGAAACGCUAGCUUUUCAACCAGAGCAAGUUCAACCGCCUGUAAAUCCUCUUUUGUAUACAAGUAAUGGGGAAUACUACGAAAAUAGAGUGAAAUGCUCAUGGUGGAACGAUUUAUAUAAUUGUUAUGACUACUACGGAAAUAUACUGAGAUGCACAUGGUGGAAAAAUGUGUACAUUUGUUUUGGCUAUUACCCAUAAAAAAUGAAUAAACUGUAAAAUAAAUAGAGUACGGAACCGAUUUAACGCAGCCUUUGUCGCCUCCGUGCAUUGAAACGACAUAGUUUCACUAUUGAAUACCUACUAGAGGUAUGAAAAAUGAUG